AUAGCUGAUGUCUGCAUCAGCAACAAAAACAGUCUCUGAGCACUGGCAUCAAGGAGCAUUUGAUGUGAACAAAGUGACAUCUUGUUUCAUCAAAGGUUAAUGAGUACAGCAGCUCUGUCAGCAAUACAUUAAGACAGCAGUGUCACUGUUCCCCAUACUUGGUGGGUUCAAGGCAGACUGCAAGCAUUACCAUUCGCGCAUUUGUCGGGGGUUCUUUUCUCUCCCAGCUCACUUCCAGUAUCCAUGACUGAAGCCAAGGAUGAGAAGUUUGUUUCUGCUUGGGAGCUGCCCAGAUGAGGACAAGUUUCCCUUGAAGAGCUGGAGUAGCCUAGAGGACAAAUUGGGCUUCCUGGUUCCAGAACUCCUCAAUCCAUUUGCACUAACACAGAAAAUAAGUUUGAAAAUAAGACA